CGUAGCUACCCGCGAACGCGACGUCAGGCGCCACUACGAGGCUGAGCACGAAUACUACGAGCGACACAAGUUUGGCCCUAUCAAAAACGAUGAGGAAAAAAGAUUGCACUCCAGGAUUAGGAGAUGAUUUUUGGCUCUUCUGGGAUUUAAAAGUAAGUAAAUUUAACAAAGUAGAAGACUGACUCAGCCCUUCUGGUCACUAUAUAUUCAGUUCACUUGUUUUUACACCUGCAGAAUGUCCUUAUCACCCAAAGGGAGAUGACCCAAAAGUGACAUCUAGUUAAUGUAUACUUCUAAAGUUUGCUGUAUUCCUUUGCCUUCUUGUUCCCAUGCCUCUCUGAACUUAAUUUCUGGGUAACUGAGGCUUUUCAGGCUUAGGUGGGAAAGCCACACCCUUAGUCUGUUUCCUUAAGCCAUUUUGACCAAUUUAUGGGAUUAACUAGUAUAAUCUUAGUUGGAGUUUUAGUCUGAGGCAUAUUAAGUCAUUCAGAGAUCUUAACAGUAGGUGUCAUAGUCAUCCAGUGAUUUGGUGCUUGCUGCAAA
rnacentral:lncRNA from 1 species